AGUGGCGAACGGGUGAGUAAUGCAUCGGAACGUGCCCAGUCGUGGGGGAUAACGCGGCGAAAGUUGUGCUAAUACCGCAUACGAUCUAUGGAUGAAAGCGGGGGACCUUUGGGCCUCGCGCGAUUGGAGCAGCCGAUGUUAGAUUAGGUAGUUGGUGGGGUAAAGGCUCACCAAGCCAACGAUCUAUAGCUGGUCUGAGAGGACGACCAGCCACACUGGAACUGAGACACGGUCCAGACUCCUACGGGAGGCAGCAGUGGGGAAUUUUGGACAAUGGGCGAAAGCCUGAUCCAGCAAUACCGCGUGCAGGAAGAAGGCCCUCGGGUUGUAAACUGCUUUUGUACGGAACGAAACGGCGCGCUCUAAUAAAGUGCGCUAAUGACGGUACCGUAAGAAUAAGCACCGGCUAACUACGUGCCAGCAGCCGCGGUAAUACGUAGGGUGCGAGCGUUAAUCGGAAUUACUGGGCGUAAAGCGUGCGCAGGCGGUUUUGUAAGACAGGCGUGAAAUCCCCGGGCUCAACCUGGGAAUUGCGCUUGUGACUGCAAGGCUAGAGUACGGUAGAGGGGGGUAGAAUUCCGCGUGUAGCAGUGAAAUGCGUAGAUAUGCGGAGGAACACCGAUGGCGAAGGCAGCCCCCUGGACCUGUACUGACGCUCAUGCACGAAAGCGUGGGGAGCAAACAGGAUUAGAUACCCUGGUAG
rnacentral:rRNA from 1 species